rnacentral:rRNA from 1 species
CCUACGGGGGGCAGCAGUCGAGAAUCAUUCACAAUGGGGGAAACCCUGAUGGUGCGACGCCGCGUGGGGGAAUGAAGGUCUUCGGAUUGUAAACCCCUGUCAUGUGGGAGCAAAUUCAAAAGAUAGUCCCACAAGAGGAAGAGACGGCUAACUCUGUGCCAGCAGCCGCGGUAAUACAGAGGUCUCAAGCGUUGUUCGGAAUCACUGGGCGUAAGGCGUGCGUAGGCUGUUUCGUAAGUCGUGUGUGAAAGGCGGGGGCUCAACCCGCGGACGGCACAUGAUACUGGGAGACUAGAGUAAGGGAGAGGGAACCGGAAUGCUCGGUGUAGCAGUGAAAUGCGUAGAUAUCGAGAGGAACACUCGUGGCGAAGGCGGGUUCCUGGACAUUAACUGACGCUGAGGCACGAAGGCCAGGGGAGCGAAAGGGAUUAGAUACCCCUGUAGUC